GGAUUUUUCCGCAAGGCAAGAUAGUCGAAUAUCAGGUUUAGUUAUUCGAAUAACCUAAUGACUGCUUCCCUAAAGUUAGUCGACUAUCAAUCCAGUUAUCCGAAUAACCUUAACAGAUUUUGAAAAUAUUGUUUAAAUUAAGAAGCAAUGGAUUAAAAUUUGUUUACCACACUGAUUUGUAGAAAAUUAAUCUACAUAACGUAUUUAAGCAACUUUUGN
rnacentral:lncRNA from 1 species